rnacentral:rRNA from 1 species
UGAGGAAUAUUGGUCAAUGGGCGAGAGCCUGAACCAGCCAAGUAGCGUGCAGGAUGACGGCCCUAUGGGUUGUAAACUGCUUUUAUAUGGGAAUAAAGUGAGGAACGUGUCCCUUAUUGCAUGUACCAUACGAAUAAGGACCGGCUAAUUCCGUGCCAGCAGCCGCGGUAAUACGGAAGGUCCAGGCGUUAUCCGGAUUUAUUGGGUUUAAAGGGAGCGUAGGCUGUUUGUUAAGCGUGUUGUGAAAUGUAGGAGCUCAACUUUUAGAUUGCAGCGCGAACUGGCAGACUUGAGUGCGCACAACGUAGGCGGAAUUCAUGGUGUAGCGGUGAAAUGCUUAGAUAUCAUGACGAACUCCGAUUGCGAAGGCAGCUUACGGGAGCGCAACUGACGCUAAAGCUCGAAGGUGCGGGUAUCGAACAGG